rnacentral:misc_RNA from 1 species
CAACCCUCAGGCUCGCCCUGGUGUUGGGGACCUGCGCUAUGCAGCCCCCGGAAGACAGCGGCGGACCCGUCCGGCUCCGAGCGUAGUACUAUACGUCGCUUAGGGUGCCCGGGCGGGCUUCCAGCCGGAAAACCCCCUAUUUCUCAAGG